rnacentral:rRNA from 1 species
UACAGAGGGUGCGAGCGUUAUUCGGAAUUACUGGGCGUAAAGCGUGCGUAGACGGUCAUGUAAGUCGGAUGUGAAAGCCCCGGGCUCAACCUGGGAAUUGCAUUCGAGACUGCAAGGCUUGGGUGCGGAAGAGGGAAGCGGAAUUUCCGGUGUAGCGGUGAAAUGCGUAGAUAUCGGAAGGAACAUCAGUGGCGAAAGCGGCUUCCUGGUCCAGCACCGACGUUCAGGCACGAAAGCGUGGGGAGCAAACAGG